UGCGAGCCCCGCGGCGCCGCGGCGUUUGUUACCUCAGCAUGCCGGCGUGCCCGCGCCUGCCGCGUCCGUCCCCCGCCGCCCUGCGCGGCGCUGCGCUGAGCUGGCGUCACCCGGCGGCCCCGUGUGAGGCGGUACCGGGUGACACCGGGUGGCACCGGGCCCGCUGCGGCACCGCCGUGCCCCGGGACGGGCCGUGCGGGCAGCGCUGCGGAGGCCCCGGCCGUUGCCCUUCAAAGUACGGACAAGCACAAGCUGGCCUGGACAAGCGGAAAGGACAAGCUCAUAGCCUGAGGUGCUGUGUUCCCUCAAGUUCUGUAAACUGAAUUAAAUUACCGUCCAACUGAGAACCUGAAAACACACAAACAGCAAAAAAAUCGUUUUUACUUACCUGAUUCUAAGGAGAUGCAAUUAAUCAGAAAUACCUUCGUGUGUCGCAAGAUGGGAAUGCAUUUUCCAGGAAGUUUUAAGCAGCACAUUAAUAGCAUCGAAUUUCAUGGCCAUGUCAAUCAAGACAAGUAGCCCAUGUUCCCCUCUUGGCACUUUCCUGCAUACAAUUGCCACUCAAUUACCACCAGCCAUUAAUCAAGAGCACAUUUUCAUGCAAAAAGCCGGUGGCUGAGGGCUGUUAUUUCUUUCUGUUGCCUUGUGACUUCAAUGCUUCACAGCCGAUUCUGUUAAUGAAUGGCACUCGAUGGAAAUAACACCGGGCUCUGCCCUUUUGCCUUGGUGGCUGAAAGUCGGAGCCGGAGAAGAGUGGAGGUCAAAAAAAGGUAGCAGAAGCGGAUGAGCUCCGAGUCCGAAGCCCUGGUGGCCGAAGCGCCGGCUGCUCCGGUGACAGUGGCAGAGCCACCCACCAG